rnacentral:lncRNA from 1 species
ACCCGAAGAGGACAAGUUAUGAACUAGGAUCAAAAUCAGACCCUGAGGAACAAAAGUAAGCCUUAGUGACAAUUUCGGGGUUCUUUGAAAGAUUGGAAAGUGGGAUUAGAGAGCAAACUUGAUAAGAUUUUGAUAAGCAUUGAUUUAGGGUGAUUUAGAUUUAUAUUGACUUUAUAAGAGCUUUGAAAAAUUGGAGUUUGUUUUGGAUGACUCUAGAUUCGUGAAAUAAAAAGGGUGAUACUUUUUGGAGAAUUUUGUAAGUUUGGCAAAAGAUCCAUAAGUAAAAUUAUAGAGAUUUGUGGAUUUAUAUGUG